UACGUAGGUCCCGAGCGUUGUCCGGAUUUAUUGGGCGUAAAGCGAGCGCAGGUGGUUUAUUAAGUCUGGUGUAAAAGGCAGUGGCUCAACCAUUGUAUGCAUUGGAAACUGGUAGACUUGAGUGCAGGAGAGGAGAGUGGAAUUCCAUGUGUAGCGGUGAAAUGCGUAGAUAUAUGGAGGAACACCGGUGGCGAAAGCGGCUCUCUGGCCUGUAACUGACACUGAGGCUCGAAAGCGUGGGGAUCAAACAGG
rnacentral:rRNA from 1 species